CAUGAAACAAAAAGGCGGUAGUAUACGCAUUCGGAAGUCGGAACUCCCUUGCUCAGCGCUGCUUCUUCUCUACGAUUCUAACUUCUCUCCGGUCCACUACCGUAUUCUAAUCUUCCCCUUCUCUAAUCCUUCCUUCCCUAGAUAAACCAAUCUCCUUUCAUGGCGAAUACUGGCGAAGAUCCGACCCGGACAAUUAACCCUUCGCAAUUUCACUUUCAGUUACUUCACUCUCAUUCUCACCUCCUCAAAUAAUUCAACGCCUUCAACUCUUCCCUUCCUCUUUCCGUAAACCUCACCACCCGCCUCUCCCUCCUCCUCCUCCUGUUAACAAUAACACUUCUCUCGGCUUUCAAUUCCAGUUCCAACACGCACUCUGCAUUCCGUGAAGUCGCGUUGGGGACGAAAAGUGAAGGUGAUAAUCCUCAGUUUCAGACUGCAAGAGAUGCAGCCAUGAACCAUCCGUGCUCAAAGUGAUACAGUUACUGAUCAAACACUUGUUACUUGCUCUUCAGUCAUCUUCUGGGGGUAAGCGUAGAAGUAAGUCAAAGGUUCCGAAACAUGGCAAAUCAGGGACUGAAAGAUUGAAUGCCUAUUCUCUGAAUUCAGCUACUGGUUGUUGAUAUGACAGUUCUUUAGGUAUGUCAAAGAAGCAUUUUAAUCUAAAAGCUUUGGUUAUUACUUGAGGCUCCAAGAUAUGAUUUAUAUUAUUCUCUAACACACCCCUUCAAAUGAGUACAGGUCCACACUACCUCAUGCUUAAUUAUAUCAAAUAAAAUGAGAUAGUAAGAUUCCAACUCGUGACCACUUGGUCAAUAAGACUCUAUACCAUUUCAAAGAAUCAUUUUAAGCUGUUAGGUGAGGCCUUAAGAUAUAAUUUAUGCUAUUCUUUAACAUGGUAAGUUCGGAUUGAUUAGCUUUUACCAUCUUUGUUAGUUUAGAAUGUUCCUAGGUUUAUUCUAUUUGCACACAUCUCUACUUGCUGUUAAUUUGGGUGGCUUUAAAUCUGUUUUGGCCAGGCUUGUUAAACAAGAAAUUUGUCAAGUUGAUCCAGGAGGCUCAGGAUGGGACACUUGAUCUGGAAAAAAAAAAUAACUGUAGGAGUGUUGGAGGCAUGGAAAAGGAAAAUGUUAUGUGCUAAGCACGUAUGCUGCUAAAUAAGAAAAUUGAAUUGCUCACACUGGAGGGUUCACAUAAGUUUUUUUUUUUUCCUAUUGUAGUAGUGUGUCUCCUUUUAUCUUAUCACAACUAGUUAUAAUGUGAAAUCACAUGUGAUGGUUAUUCUGUGGGUAGCAUGAAUAUCUUUGCUAUUAAUUGAACUUUCCUGGCACAAUAUUGGUUUUACAGGUCCAAAAGAGGAGGAUGUAUGAUAUUACAAAUGUUCUGGAAGGGAUAGGAUUGAUAGAGAAAACUUCAAAAAAUCAUAUACGCUGGAAGGGAUAUGAUGAUUUUGAGCAAAAGAUAAUGGAUGAUCAUGCUGGAAUAAAGGCUGAAGUUGAAAGUUUAUAUACUGGAGUUCAGACUCGAUGAAUCUACAAGGGAUAGACGAGAACUUCUGAGAGGCCUGAAGGCGGAUGUGUUUCGUGAAAUUAUCUCGUUCUGAUGGAAGAAGAUAUUACCAGCCUUUCAUGCUUCCAGGAUAUUGGUUCCCCUCGAUACAAAAUGACUGUUAGAAGCACCAAUGGACCCAUUGUAUGUGUAUCUCUUGAGGUAACAUUCACAACAGAUGUGCAGUUUC